AGAGUUUGAUCAUGGCUCAGGAUAAACGCUGGCGGCGUGCCUAACACAUGCAAGUCGAACGCCCUCUCGGUAACGAGAGGGAGUGGCGGACGGGUGAGGAACACGUGGGUGACCUACCCCGAAGUGAGGAAUACCAGCGAGAAAUCGCUGACAACACCGCAUACGUUUCGCAAGAAACAAAGCUCGAAAGAGCGCUUUGG
rnacentral:rRNA from 1 species